AUUGAACGCUGGCGGCAGGCCUAACACAUGCAAGUCGAGCGGAGCGGCGGACGGGUGAGUAAUGCCUAGGACUCUGCCUGUUAGUGGGGGAUAACGUCCGCAAACGGGCGCUAAUACUGCAUACUAUCAGAUGAGCCUAGGUCGGAUUAGCUAGUUGGUGGGGUAAAGGUCUACCAAGGCGACGAUCCGUAACUGGUCUGAGAGGAUGAUCAGUCACACUGGAAAUGAGACACGGUCCAGACUGCUACGGGAGGCAGCAGUGGGGAAUAUUGGACAAUGGGCGCAAGCCUGAUGCAGCCAUGCCGCGUGUAUGAAGAAGGCCUGAGGGUUGUAAAGUACUUUCAGCGGGGAGGCGUUACCCGCAGAAGAAGCACCGGCUAACUCCGUGCCAGCAGCCGCGGUAAUUC
rnacentral:rRNA from 1 species